UACGGAGGGGACUAGCGUUGUUCGGAAUUACUGGGCGUAAAGGGCGCGUAGGCGGCUCGGUAAGGUUGCGGUGAAAGCCCGGGGCUCAACCCCGGGUCGGCCGUGGCAACUGCUGGGCUCGAGCACUGUAGAGGCAGGUGGAAUUCCGGGUGUAGCGGUGGAAUGCGUAGAGAUCCGGAAGAACACCGGUGGCGAAGGCGGCCUGCUGGGCAGUGACUGUAAUGGUCAAUAGCUGACGCUGAGGCGCGACAGCGUGGGGAGCAAACAGG
rnacentral:rRNA from 1 species